UUUUGGUGCUUUAUCGCUGGGGUCACACCCGUUCUCAUUCCGAACACGGAAGUUAAGCCCAGUUGAGGCGAUGAUACUUGCAAAGGGAAAGUAGCUAAGCGCCAGAAC
rnacentral:rRNA from 1 species